UCCCUUGUAGCUCAGCUGGUAGAGAACCCACCUGCAAUGUUGGAGACCUGGGUUCAAUCCCUAGGUUGGGAA
rnacentral:tRNA from 1 species